GCCCGCAUGGCUAAGUGGUAUAGCGUGACACUCGUAUUUCUACUGGGUCAAUGUCAAGGUCAUCAGUUCGAUUCUGAUUGUGGGCA